rnacentral:lncRNA from 1 species
CUUUCCCCUCGGCGAUGCUGACUUCAGUGCACCAGAUUAGGCUGGAUAGAAAGUCUGUGGCUGGCUGCGAAGACUGCAAGAUU